rnacentral:rRNA from 1 species
AAGCGCUCGUGACCAGACUUGGGCUUGGCGAAUCAUCCAGGGUUCUCCCUGGUGCACUUUGCCUUGCUCAGGCCAGCAUCAGUUCGCCGCGGGGGAUAAAGGCGUCGGGAACGUGGCUCCCUCGGGAGUGUUAUAGCCCGUCGUGUAAUACCCUGGGGCGGACUGAGGUUCGCGCAUCUGCAAGGAUGCUGGCGUAAUGGUCAUCGGCGA